GGGUGCGGGGCCGGGUUCGCCGCCGGCCGCCGCAGGCGGUGGGAUGAUCGGGCCGUCAUCC
rnacentral:ncRNA from 1 species